ACGGAGGGUGCGAGCGUUAAUCGGAAUCACUGGGCGUAAAGCGCACGUAGGCGGUGUCGUAAGUCGGAUGUGAAAGCCCUCGGCUCAACCGGGGAACUGCAUUCGAUACUGCGAUGCUUGAGUGCCGGAGAGGGUGGCGGAAUUCCAGGUGGAGGGGCGAAAUCCGUAGAUGUCUGGAGGAGCAGCAGUUGGGAAGAUGACCAGAUAGCCGGGAUCUGACGCAGGGGAGUGGGAUGGUAGAAAUCGAGUAG
rnacentral:rRNA from 1 species